GUGGGGAAUAUUGCGCAAUGGGCGAAACCCUGACCCAGCAACGCCGCGUGAGGGAAGAAGGUUUUCGGAUUGUAAACCUCUGUCCUUGGUGACGAAGGAAGUGACGGUAGCCAAGGAGGAAGCCCCGGCUAACUACGUGCCAGCAGCCGCGGUAAUACGUAGGGGGCAAGCGUUGUCCGGAAUGACUGGGCGUAAAGGGCGUGUAGGCGGCCGAUUAAGUCUGGAGUGAAAGUCCUGCUUUCAAGGUGGGAAUUGCGUUGGAGACUGGUUGGCUUGAGUGCGGAAGAGGUAAGUGGAAUUCCCAGUGUAGCGGUGAAAUGCGUAGAGAUUGGGAGGAACACCAGUGGCGAAGGCGACUUACUGGGCCGUAACUGACGCUGAGGCGCGAAAGCGUGGGGAGCGAACAGGAUUAGAAACCCGGGUAGUCC
rnacentral:rRNA from 1 species